rfam:Dipodomys ordii contig_48960, whole genome shotgun sequence.
GGUGGCUCAAUGGUAGAGCUCUUGCCUUGCAUGCAUGAGGCCCUGGGUUCGAUUCCUCAGCACCA